GGUGGGGUGGCAGAAUGGGAUUGCACACGGCUCGAAACCGUGGGCCUUACGGCCAUGUGGGUUCGAAUCCCACCCCCACCG
rnacentral:tRNA from 1 species